rfam:Hordeum vulgare subsp. vulgare, WGS project CAJW01000000 data, contig: morex_contig_1573853
CUUAUACUCCCUCCGUCCGGAAAUACUUGUCAUAGGAAUAAAUGUAUCUAAAUGUAUUUUAGUUCUAGAUACAUUCAUUUUUAUCAAUUUAUGCAACAAGUAAUUCCGGACGGAAGUAAUUU